rnacentral:tRNA from 1 species
AAUUAUGAAGUAAAAAAAAUUACAUUUAGUUUCGACCUAAAAGAUUGAAUUAAUAUUCCAUAAUUG